GCCGGGGUGGUGGAAUGGGCAGACACACAGGACUUAAAAUCCUGCGGUUGGUCUACCAACCGUGCCGGUUCAAGUCCGGCCCUCGGCA
rnacentral:tRNA from 1 species